CAAUUCUACCUUGGGUGGGACGUCUGCUAGCACAGCUAUUUUAACAAUAAGAACAAGGCAUCGCCUGAGCAAUAUCUCCAUGAUCUUGAAGCGUGUACUUUCCUUGUUGAGCUGGAGCUUAGUCGUCCUUACCCAUAUCGUGGUACAGACUUGUCAAAAUGGGAGCCAAUUGCAGUACUGCCUUACCUACAGGGAGCUCUCACCUGCCUUAU